GGGGCCGGUGGCGCAGCGGACCCCUCAAGGACCGUCUUGAGAAGGACUGGGACUUCCCCCCUGCCCCAACCCAUCACCUGAUCAGGUGAUUUGGGACGAGGACGCGGGGAGGGGGCGGUAUGGUCGCCGCAGACGACACCGCAUACACGACGGCCCCGGCGGGGACGGCAAUCCCGGCCGGGGCCUGACCAGUUAAGGAAGACGCAACUUCCCC
rnacentral:ncRNA from 1 species